GAUGAACGCUGGCGGCGUGCCUAAUACAUGCAAGUCGAGCGAACGGACGAGAAGCUUGCUUCUCUGAUGUUAGCGGCUGACGGGUGAUUAACACGUGUAUAACCUACCUAUAAUACUUGUAUAACUUCGGGAAACCGGAUCUAAUACCGGAUAAUAUUUUGAACCGCAUUGUUCAAUAGUGUAUGCCGUUCUUGCUGUCUCUUAUAGAUUUAUCCGCGCUGCAUUAGCUAGUUGGUAAGGUAACGGCUUACCAAGGCAACGAUGCAUAGCCGACAUGAGAGGGUGAUCGGCAAAACUGGAACGGAGACACGGUCCAGACACCGACGGGAGGCAGCAGAAGGGAAUAUUCCGCAAUGGGCGAAAGCAUGACGGAGGAAAGCCGCGUGAGUGAUGAAGGUCUUAGGAUCGUAAAACGCUGUUAUUAGGGAAGAACAAAUGUGUAAGUAAAUGUGAACAUAGUGACGGUAACGAAAAAGAAAGCAACGGCUAACUACGUG
rnacentral:rRNA from 1 species